GGGUUAUUAGCUCAAAUGGCAGAGCAGGCGACUCUUAAUCGUCAGGUUGGGGGUUCGAUUCCCUCAUAGCCCACCA
rnacentral:tRNA from 1 species